rnacentral:rRNA from 1 species
UACAGAGGUCUCAAGCGUUGUUCGGAUUCAUUGGGCGUAAAGGGUGCGUAGGUGGCGCUGUAAGUCGGGUGUGAAAUUUCGGAGCUUAACUCCGAAACUGCAUUCGAUACUGGGAGUCUCGAGUUCGGGAGAGGUGAGUGGAACUGCGAGUGUAGAGGUGAAAUUCGUAGAUAUUGGGAAGAACACCGAUGGCGAAGGCAGCCAUCUGGACCGACACUGACGCUGAGGCGCGAAAGCGUGGGGAGCAAACAGG